AAGACAUGGUGAGGGCAUUUCCUAUGUAUUUCUUUAAAUCUCUCCCAACUUUUAUAAAUUGAUUCUCCAAAAAAAUAGGCAAAGGAAGUGAUAUCAUUUCUAAGUUU